AUGAGAUCGUUGACAGGAAUAACUAUUCUCCUAAUUUUGGGUAUCAUGGGUGAUGCUAAGUCCACACAGCCGGAUGUAGUGGAGAGUACUGAAGAAGAACCCGUGCACCUGCCCUGUAACCACCCCACAAUCAGUGGAACUGAGUACAUACACUGGUAUCGACAGAUUCCCGGCCAGGGUCCAGAGUAUGUGAUUCAGGGUCUGAAAGGCAAUGUGAGCCAUGGAAUGACGUCUCUGAUCAUCGCCACAGACAGGAAGUCCAGUACCUUGAUCCUGGCCCAGGUCACCCUGAGAGACUCUGCUGCCUACUACUGCAUCUUGAGAGACACACAGUGGGAUGGAGGGGGCUGCACCUGUACAAUAUCUCCCUGGUGGGGGAGGGGAACAGCAACACCAUCUAAAGAGACCACUGCACAGGAAUGUGCAGAAAAACCCGAUAGAAGAAAAAGUGAAGAGAAGAUAGUGAAGAAAUCAAACAGCAACGGAUGA